GAAGAGGGCGGGGUUUCAGGGACCACUCCAGCCCAGCCACCCAAGGACCACUGUGACCUCCUUCUGGAUGCCAUCGAUGCCCAGCUCAGUCUCUUACAGGCCCAGAGUAAUGUUGUCAGAGCCAGACGGGAUGAUGGGAGCUGUGAAAGAACAAAUCAUGCCAGUACAGCACUCCUCAAUCUGAGCCAGUCUGCCAGCAAGGAUACUGGGCUUGGGAGCACCAUCCCCACCAAUGACACCCUCACCUCCC